CCGUCCAUCCAUCCUCCCYGGCGGCCGCCGGUCCCUGCCACGGCCUGACCCCGCGUCUCCCGCCAGGCAAAGCUGCGGAGGUGCUGUCGGGCGGCAAGGCGCCGGCGCUGAGCGACCCGUUCCUGGCCCGCCGCGGCGGGCCGCUGCUGAGCUGGUCGGCGGUGGCGCAGACGAAGCGGAGGGCGGCGAGCAAGGGCACGGCCGUGCUGCAGAACCUCUUCCAGGUCAACGGCAGCGCCAAGAAGCUGCGGGCCAAAGAGGCGCUCUUCCCCGUGCACCACCACGUCGCCGCCCCCGUCUUCGGCAACGGCUUCGGGGCCGACUCCUUCAGCCGCAUCGCCAGCUCCUACGCGUCCUUCGGGGCCGGGGCUGGGCUGGUGCUGCCGGCUGCCCAGAAACUCCUGCGCUCCAAGAAGGCCGAGCGGCUGGAGGCAGAAGUGGGCAAAGGCGGCCGGAGAAAAGCAGGCAGUGAGUACCUGGUCAAGCUGGACCACGAAGGGGUGACGUCCCCCAAGAACAAGAACUGCAAGGCCCUGCUGCUGGGUGAGAAGGACUUUGGGGCCAAGCUGGAGCGGCCCCUGGCCAGCCACGGCURUGCCCAUUCGGCCCUGGCGGGCAAGGAUAGGAAGGGGCGGGCGCCCGUGCACCAGCUGCCCCUGGGGCUGGCGCUGCGGAAGUACUCGGGCCAGGCCGAGUUCGCCCUGAACUGCGACAGCGACUGCCACAGCUCCUACUCGGACAUGGACGAGGACGAGGAGGCGGGCGGGCUGGGCGCCGAUGUGCCCUCGCGCUUUAUGACCCGCCUCUCGGUUUCCUCCUCUUCCUCGGGCUCUUCCACCUCCUCCAGCUCCGGCUCCAUCUCCACGUCCAGCCUCUGCUCCUCCGACAACGAGGACUCCUCCUACAGCUCCGAGGACGAGGACUCCACGCUGCUGCUCCAGACCUGCCUCUCGCACCCGGUGCCGGCGCUGCUGGCGCAGCCGGACGCCCUGCGCUCCAAGAGCGGCGCCCCGCAGCGCUGCUUCCUCCCCAAGGCCGCCGCCGCCGGCCCCAAGGCCAAGCUCAAGCGCAAGGAGGCCCUCAGCUUCUCCAAAGCCAAAGAGUUCUCCCGGCGGCAGCGCCUGCCCUCGGUGGAAAACCGGCCAAAGAUCUCCGCCUUCCUGCCCGCACGCCAGCUCUGGAGGUGGUCGGGGAACCCCACGCAGGUACGGCCAGCGCCCCGGCCCCGGCUGCUCGGYGCGGGCGCGGGGUGAGGAAGGACGGAGCACGGCGCCGGGGUGCACAGGGCACGGCGCCUCGAUGCACGGUGUCUGGGUGCUUGGGGCGCAGCGCCUGGGGCACAGAGCGAGGCUCCUUGUUGCACAGCGCCCGGGUGCACGGGGCUCAGCACCUGGGUGCACAGGGCAUGGCAUCUCCGUGCACGGUGCCUCGGUGCAGGGGGCACAGCGCCUGGGUGCGUGGUGCCUGGGUGCACGGGGCACAGCAUUUCAGUGCAUGGUGCCUCGGUGCACGGCACCUGGGUGCACAGUGCCUCGGUGCACAGGGCACGGUGCCUUGGUGCAUGGCACCUGGGUGCACGGUGCCUGGGUGCACGGGGCACAGCAUUUCGGUGCACGGUGCCUCGGUGCACGGUGCCUUGGAGCACAGCGCCUGGGUGCGCGGUGCCGUGGGCGCGUGGGGCAUAGCUGCUCAGUGCAUGGGGCGCAGCACCUGGGUGCAUGGGGCACGGCACUGCCCGGCGUGGGGCACAGCGCCUGGGUGCACAGCGCUUCAGUGCAUGGGGCCGGGGUGCACAGCCCCAGCGCUCGGCUGCGUCACUCACCCGCCCGCAGCUCCGCCGUGUGCCUGCUGCCGCUGUCCCCGGACAUGGCGAAGCGAAAACCCGCGGCUGGGGGGAGGGGGGCGGGGGGGUCGGGCCGCGCUCCCCCGGCAGCGUCGGGGCCCUGCGAAACGCGCCCGCCCGCCCGGUAGCUGUCACUGUUCGUUCACCAGGAAGAGUCUCGGCUCCACCAUUCAACCCACGGGCAGGAGGAGGAAACAACAACUCACGGCAACCCGCCGCCAACGCCGCCGCCGCCGCCGCUGCUAGCCAGCCGGCGCGAGCGAGCGAGCGCGAUCCCUCCGCCCGGAGAAAGAGUCCCCUC
ensembl:lncRNA